CAUCGCAAAGAAGCGGGAUCGGCUCCGAUCUUCGCCACCGGUCGCCGGACCGAAGCGAGGGCGGUGGAGCACGCCCCACGCACUCUGGCUGGACAUCGCCGCCCCCUUCAAAAACCCUAACCCUGAUCCUGGAAACGAUUGAUCUCUACCUCCUUUCCUCUUCCUCUUUCCUCUUUCUCGCCAUGCCGAUAUCCGAGAACUCUUCUCCCCAUUCUUUCCUCCCCGGCUUCCUCUUCUCCUGCUCUUCCACCCGAUCCCUCGCCCUGGAUCGCCUCCUAAGACGAAAUCGUAGCUCGCUGGCACCUCGUGCUUCUUCUCCGGUGGAUAGGCCGCCGAAUGUAGGGUCGCCGCCGGAUCCUUUCGUCGCCCGGGCCCCGAGAGAGCCCGGCAAGAUCGAGCUGUACUCGCCGCUAUACUACGCCGCCUGCACCGCUGGAGGGAUCGCCAGCUGUGGCCUCACCCACAUGGCCGUCACCCCGCUCGACCUCGUCAAAUGCAACAUGCAGAUCGACCCGUUCAAGUAUAAGAGCAUCACAUCAGGAUUUGGCGUCUUGCUGAGAGAGCAGGGGCUCAGAGGCUUAUUCAAGGGUUGGGUGCCAACCCUGCUUGGUUAUAGCGCUCAAGGUGCAUGCAAGUUUGGGUUUUAUGAGUUCUUCAAGAAGUAUUAUUCAGACAUUGCUGGGCCAGAAUAUGCAGCCAAGUAUAAGACCCUCAUCUACCUUGCGGGGUCUGCUUCUGCUGAGGUGAUUGCUGAUGUGGCUCUUUGCCCCAUGGAAGCUGUGAAGGUGCGAGUCCAGACUCAGCCAGGGUUUGCUAGGGGUUUGCUUGAUGGAUUUCCAAAGUUGGUCAAGUCUGAAGGUGCUUUAGGAUUGUACAAAGGACUGGUUCCACUUUGGGGUCGUCAGAUUCCUUAUACAAUGAUGAAAUUUGCUUCCUUUGAGACGAUUGUUGAAUUGAUCUACAAACAUGUGAUUCCCACACCAAAAGAUCAAUGUAGCAAACCGCUCCAGCUGGGAGUGAGCUUUGCAGGUGGAUACAUUGCUGGGGUCUUCUGCGCUGUUGUGUCUCAUCCAGCUGACAACCUCGUCUCUUUCCUUAACAAUGCCAAGGGAGCCACUGUUGGUGAUGCUAUCAAAAAGCUUGGGUUGUGGGGUCUUUUUACUCGUGGCCUUCCUCUUCGGAUUGUCAUGAUUGGUACUCUGACUGGAGCACAAUGGGGAAUCUAUGAUGCUUUUAAAGUAUUCGUUGGCCUGCCAACGACUGGUGGAGUUGCUCCUGCUGCUCCCUCUGAGCAUUCAAAAGAAAGCUGAACAAAUUGGGCUAACGAACUGGCGGAUGGUCCAGAGAUCUUAGUGAAUAAGACAAUGGGAAGCUGGCACCAGCGGGUCACAGCUUGUGUGAUUUGUGGGCAGUGAAUUUGUAGUUUUCUUUGAUGUUGCGGUUGCUGGAGAGGCAUUGAUAAUCUGCAUCGGUCUUUAUUCAAGUCGCAGGCUGUACCAGAGGAUGAGCAUGAGGCCGUGGUAGCCUGCCAAAUUGCUCUGAAAUUUUGCUGGGUCGGGGAGAUGUAUAUUUUCUCCCUUUCCUGUUUCUCAUGUCUUCACCUAUGAGCGGGAGGGUCAGGAAGCGAAAGGCGUGUAUGGCGGUGAUGACCGGACCAGCGUCUGGGCUGCCGCUAGCAAGCCUGGGGUUCAAGGCUCGGAAGUGUUUUUGCUUUCUCCGGUGGGCAAGCUAGAGGGCCGCUUCACUGAUGCAACCUCGUGGACGUGGGCAGAUGUGCCCACCCUAGCGGUGCUGGGUGUCCUAGCUCCUCACACCGCCAGACGUUGACUGGUUCGACAAUGCUAGUGUUCGAGGAGGCUGAGCUGGUCCGUGGAAGUUUUGCCUGGCUGAUACGUUUUCUGGACGCCGCUCGUCACCGGCAUUCGUGGGAAGCUCGAGUUGAAGUGGAACUUGGAGCACGACUUCCAGUUGUUGGACGUGUUGGAAGAUGUCUGGAGCUUCUGGUUUCCAACCGGGCAGGACAUGCUCAAGGUGUGGGCUAUGGGGAUCGUGGAUGGUCACUGGCCUGGCGCUUGCGCUUGAAGCUUGGCGGUCGAACUUCGUUCACACGGCCGAUGCCAUCGAUACCGGCGUCGACUGGAGGAAUCUGUCACGUUUACCGUAAGGGCGUUGGGAUAAAGUCGUGACUAUGAACAUCGAUCGCCUAGGCGGUGGGAGUUCCCCUUCGGGUGGACUUGUCCACCGACACGAUGGUCACGGAACAGCCAACGAGGGCCAACCUUGCUCAGGCAGUGGUAUGGUGCGAGCUGCCAGAAGCAGCGUGUGGUAGCAGUUUGUAUACGACAGCGUGGGGAGGGUGUAUUCUUCGACCAUGGCCGAAGUUGUCAGGCAGAUUGUCCCGUGCCGGCAGCAAGGUUGUCAUACCCGGACAUUUUUUAAGGAGGACCAUGUGCAAUCGAAGGCCAACACCAGCGGCGGCAGUGACCCAACCAACAUCACUAGCCUGGGCCACGGUUGGUGGCAACACCUGGGUCUGCGGCGGAGCCGACUCGGCCUGACUUGUUCGGGUCCACUCGGGAGCGACUCAAGUGAGGGCACUCGGUCCCAACCGGCGGCGACACGUCAAUGACAGGCAGCAGGGUACGCGUCUAAGAUCGGCCGUCUAAGGCAGGAAACAUUUGCAUCUUUCAGUGGAUUGCAAGCUGCACGACGCACCGAAUCUGCACCCAGAUCAACCACGUGAUGAGUGGAUCUUGGAUGUGGCUUUCCUUGGACCCUCGGAGCCCGUCCACUUUUCCUACUUCUACGGUGCAUCCAGCAUCCGCUAGAAGUGGAAGAAGGGUAUGAGAGAAGAGGGCAAAGCGGGAGGAGAAGACAGUGGCCGGAGGCGGGGGAGGACUUGGUGACAUUCAGCCUAACGUCAAGCAGCUCGAAGACUCUUCCGUUUCCAAGUAAGCCCUACUGCUGCUGCUUCUUUUUCUGUCUAUUUCAAUUACAGACGUAGAAAGACGUCGUUCAUUCAUCUUCGUUUCUGAAACUUCCGCCAAUCUAUUUAGAAAACUGAGAGAAAUAAAUUUCGAUAUGAAAAACUCUCCCCAGAAAGAAAGAAAGGAUUUUGAGGGUUUGAUUUCGAUUUUUGGAUUCGUGUUACGGACACGAUGAGAAAAGUUCCAAUUUUUGUUAGCCGUAGGAAUUUGGUUUAUAUCAGCUAAGGAUCAGUCUCUCAUAAAAAAUUCAUUUUUGACCAAUAUUAGUUUAGGAUCUAUGUCUCUUACAAAGUGCGGUUUUUGACUGUCUAGUAUGAAGAUAGUUCAACAGCAAUGCGGUUUGUGGAAAAUGCUAACAUAAUACAUAAGGAUAUUACGUUAAAUUAUGGUCUGAUGCGAUAUACAGGCGACGCUAUCAUUGAGAAUCUAUAUUUGAUUACUAGUAACAUCCUUCUAGCUUUGUACUUUAUAUUUGCAAAUGGAUAUCUCGCCAAUUGCCCAGGAAACACUAGAUGAUUUCUUCACUUGGCAUGCAUGUUAAAGAUCCACAUCUAGCAAGUAGCAAGCAACUAACAUAGUUCAAACAAAGUGAGAACAAUAAUUUGCUGGCUUGCAAUCAUUUGAUAGAUUAUUGUAAGGUUACUAAGGUUGGGCAUUAAAGUGUCAACUCCAGAGAAGUUGUUAACCUUGUGUUCAUAAGACAUGGAGCAAGCAAUGAAAGUUGUGUUAAGACAAUAGCAUUUCAUAACAUUCUUCGAGGUUCUACUGGUUAAAAAUGAAGUCAUUAGCCAUUCCGUUGAGUUUGUCAUUGGUUAUAUGCUAAAGUAAAUUAUAGAGGGAAACUUCGAAAGAUCAGCGUUCCAUGAUUAGUAGAAAUAAUAAGAGAUACCAUACUAGAUUUAGAAAUAAAAAAAAGCAUUAGAGCACAUGAAAUGAAUCAUUGUUGAAAUGAAAAUCUUUAUGAACUCUCAAUCAUCAUUAGUGGGAAAGAGAUACCAUAUUGAGAUUUUUUUGAUUCUCUUGAAUUAAUUAUGCAUUAGACUUGGGAUAUGGAUAACAAAUUUAACAUUGAAUAGAUGAAGUAAAGAGGUGCUUCUAAUGUAUUAUGCGAUUGACAAAUGUUUCAAGAGAUCAAGGAAAAGUGUAAGAGGGUAAUAAGACCGCUAAGAUCAUGUGUUUUAGCAUGAUGGACCAUAAAGAAAGCUCAUGCACACAAGAUGAGCUUACUAGAUAUAAGAUUGUUGAGGUGACUUUAUGGUGGGAGAGAACAUUUACAAACAUGAUGACCUUGGUCAAUAUCCAGCAUGAUAAGUUGUAUCAGUGAUAAAAUUAUGAAGGUUACCAAGUGUAAAUUGCGGACAAUUUGAUGGAUGAUCAUUUUAUAUGGAAUGGAUGUGGAAUGACAGCAAAAGGAGUUCAGAUAUGUGCUACUAUUUCCAUAACCUAGUGACAAUGUUGGUAGUGCAUAGAUGGAAGUUGGGAAAGAGGAUCUGGAAUGUUUGUAGUGACAAUGGAUCUGGCCCUUGAUAUGAAAGUAUGACAGUGAAGGAUUGGUGAAGCAGACAAUAUAGGGUUGCAUUAGGCUUUGCAUGGGUUUUGUUUAUAGGAACAAGGCCAGUCUAAAUGUAAGAACCAUGAAAUCGGUUUAAUCCCAUUAAUGUCAAUUUAGCAAGUUUUCAUGAAUAUUUCAAUUCAGAGUUUCUUGUCUGACUUUCUCUUGACCCUUUUUUGUUAGACAUCUUUGAUAUGCUUCUGCAAUUUAAAUCUUUCAAAAAUAGUAAAGCCUAUGUUAAUAUUUUUACUUCUUCUCUUUCAUUUUGCUAAUUUAUAAUGUUUGAUUUAUUGACUCAAGACUCUGACUUUUAGUUAAAUGUCUAGAAGUGGAGUAACUGGGAUACAAAAAUUAAUGGCCACACUAUUGUUUAUGAUUCACAAAUCAUUUUUUAGAUCUCCUAUCUAUGCAUCAAAUCAAUUCAUUAAAGAUUAUUAUAAUGAUGAUUUGCUAAGAUAUACAUAAAGUUCAGAAGCAUCCAAGCCAAAUGAGCUCGGUUGGCACUUGUUUUAGAUGCGUAGAUCAUGAUCAAUGAUAUGAAUUUUCAAUUUAUAUGCACAUUUAUACAUUUUAGAAUGCUGGCAUUAUCAUUGUCAUUUGUUUUUCUACUUGCACGACACAUAGUAGGAAGACCUCUAAAACCUGUUUUAUGAAUUUUUAGUGCUGUAGGACAUGAUCAACAAUAUGGAUAUUUAAUUUGAAUGAUCCAUUAUUGAUUUUGGAAUGUUCACUUCAACAUCAGAUGAGACGUGAAAUGUGCAAUCAAGAUCUUAUUUAUUCUUCUUUUAUAUAUAUAUAUAUAGAGAGAGAGAGAGAGAGACACACACACACACACACACACACAUGCUUUUUUCUAUGCAUUUACCAAUUUAGGAUUGAAACUUAUUUGUUGUGGAUCAAACUAUCAACCAAAUUAUCUAAUGGCACUAUGACUAUGAACCUUAUCAAAUACAAGUGUGCAGUAGUUUAUUGGCAUCACACGAAAUUGUAGUUAGAUCAAUGUCAAAAGGCAAAUCUAAAACAUUUGUUGUGCUACUCAGAUCCCUGCUUUUUGAGUCUAUAAAUGAUCAAAGAGACCUUGUUUUUAUUGAUCCUUAGGAGGGUUGUCUGUAAUGGGACAAAAUUUCCAACUUAAUUCUUGCCAUCUAGUCAUUUCCAAUAUUAUUGUCCCAUAAAGUAGACAAGAUUUUAUUUGGGGAGUUGGGUCUUAGCUAUUUACACACUGAUUCUUGGACAAGAAAUAAGAUUGUCCAUCAGAUCAAUUAGAAACUAUGGAGUGCUUUUGAAUAUGUAGAAUUCUUUCUGCCAUAUAUUGUUUUUUUUUAAUUUUUUGGCAUAUUUUUGGUAUCAUAAUUUUUUUUCAGAAAAUCAUAUUUCUAAUGAUGUAAAAAAGAUAAGAUUACCAAAAAAAAAAAGCAUAUAUUGCACGAUUAUGUGUUUUUUUAUAUGCUUGUUGAUUGAAUUCAUUUUUAAUGUAUGAAUUAUAAUGAUCAGCAGUUGUUGAUUCCAAAUGUUUGCCUGUUUUAAAAAAUCCUUAGCAUGUUUGGGUGGUUAUCAAGGGUGUAGUGUAUUAUUAAAGUUGCGGCUUGCAUAAUUGCUUCUUUUAUGUAAGUGAUGGUAAUUGAUAAAUUACAGGAUACUUGAUUAAGCCCUAAUGUAGAUGUAGAAAUAUCUACUAUUAUAGGAAUCUUUAAUGUUGGGCAGCUAGGGGUUCUUAGAAAGUUGCCUUCAUUAAUUGAAUCCCAUUGUCUCGAUGAAAUGGUUUAUUUGUGCAGAGUUCUAUGAGAACCUCAUCUCCAAUAUCCAUGUCAACAGAUAUAUCUUGAGUUUGUUCUUUCUCCCUCCAAAUACUCUAAUAUUGCCAUUGUUCUUAUUAGUUUCCCAAGUACAAGUGUGUUCAUUGAACUUCGCUUUACUUAUUUGUUUUUAUGUAAGACAAAAUUUUUGGUCACAAACCAGGAGGAUAAUCCAUAGUUUGUCUUUUGUUGGAGAUAAGUUCAUAUAAGUGUCAUCCGAGAGACAUACAUUUUCCUCUGCUAAGGGGGAGAAAUUCUGUCCACCAGCUUUAUUUGUUAACUUCACACCUCUAUAUAUUCUACAGGUUAAGGGGUCCAGCAUGAGAGCUCCACAGAUUCUCUUCUUGUACACAUGGCAAGAUCCAUAUUAACCAAAGUGGCACAUGAUAACUAUAUGAUAUGACAAAAUUAAAAAUACUUUAAUCCUAGAGCCACUACUUAAAGCCACUUCUUGGCACAGGUACAUGUGCAUGUGAUGAAGAUAAAAAAGGAUGUUGCAGAUAAGUCAGGCUAACAGAAUACUGAACCAUCUGGGCUCCACUUGGUUAUGCUAUGUGGAUGAUCAAUCUCACCUAGAGCUUGAGAUGAUUGUAAACACAUUCUUCAAGCUUAGCUUGGCAGCCAACUACUGGGAGCUCAGAUUGCGAGAAAUUCAUUUGGCUAUACAUGCUGAAAUUGAUUUCGAGCUUGAAACUUGGCCCAAGUUCAAAACUAUAGCUCCCUGAAAACACCUGGUAAAAAUUGAAUCCAAGAGAAGGGAGAAAUACCAAAAAAAUGAAAAACAAUUAGGUCUCACAGGGCUUCCAAGAUUGACAAGGUGAGAUGAGUGCGUGAGGCUUUGCAAUGGAUCACAUGGGUGAGAGAGAUGACUAGCAAAAACAGUGAUCCUUGCUUGGAUUUCCAAUGCCAAAGCUAGAUAAGUGCACAAGUUAGGGGGGAUGACAAUCUUUGGCUUUGCUUUCUGGAGGGGGCAAUGUAUUUGAGCUGGAGGCCCAACAGCAGCAUAAGGACAAGUUUGCAAGACUCUAUUGGAAUAUGACCAGUCAUGCCUGCAAAGUUUCUUUAUUGAAAGUUUCCUUCUAGAUAUCUCUUGGGAUUUCUGCAUAUAUGAUUCAGAGGCUGAGGUAUCAAAUUGGUUAUUUGAGGAAGCAUUAUCUUAAUCCCUCGGCUUAAUGUGCUACCAUGAGAGCCAAUAAUAUCAAUAUUGCCACUCUUAAAGUGUAUCGUCUGGUGACUCAACCAAGCAUUGUCAUAAGCAAUUAUUUAGGUAUCAUAUGGUCCAUGAUAUGUGGUACGUAUCAUGCCUGUCCAGUACAGGUUCAGUCAUUGGGUGCAUGUACAAAAUUGUGCCAAUUUAUGCUUAUCCAUACUUUGCAAGUAUAUUGGCUAUGUAAGAAAACAGCCUAGCUUCUCCUCAGGGCCCCUGCCUUACUGCUUUUAAUUAUUUUUGAGUUUGGAGGAAAAGAUCUAUUUAGGAACAGAUAUAGAAUGCUUUGAAGUUGGUGCUUCCCAUUAAUGUACUUCAUCUUUAACAUUUUUUAUGUUCCUAUAAUUUUGUUAAAAG